UACAGAGGUCCCAAGCGUUGUUCGGAUUCAUUGGGCGUAAAGGGUGCGUAGCGGUGCCGUAAGUCGGAUGUGAAAUCUCGGGGCUCAACCCUGAAACUGCAUUCGAUACUGCGGUGCUAGAGGACUGGAGAGGAAACUGGAAUUCACGGUGUAGCAGUGAAAUGCGUAGAUAUCGUGAGGAAGACCUGUGGCGGAAGGCGGGUUUCUGGACAGUACCUGACGCUGAGGCACGAAGGCCAGGGGAGCAAACGGG
rnacentral:rRNA from 1 species